GGGGGCGGGGCAGGGAAGGAGAUAACGACUCCCCUCUAGGAGGGCCAGGAGGAUGAAAAGAGGAAAUACAUGGACAGGUUCCGGUGUAUCCUGUUCUCAGAGCUACUUGUCUAUGGAUCCCCAGUCUGGGAGUCUGGCUUUUGGUUUUCUGAGCUCAGAGGGCUGUGUGGGUCUCUCCUAGAGCCCUUCAGGGAAUUUUCAGAUGGAUUUGCUGACUAAAGGAUUUUCCUGCAUUUAAGUCCAAUGGCUUCUUAGACUUUGAUGUCAACUCGCUUAAAAAGAAAAAGGAAAAGCGUGUACCAGAAGGAGGAAAUUGGGUCCUGCUGUGUAACUUCAGUAGUCUCACUGUCUCUUCGUGCCCCGGUUUCCUCCUUUCGGAACUGAGGAGGAUCAUGCCUACCUCAUUUUUCUCAGUCUCUCUGGGGAAUGGUAAGAUUAUAGCUAUGAAAGCACCCAUUUUAAACACGAAGAUAUCAAGGUCCGAGUUCAUGUUCUGCACAGGUGGCACCGUUCCUCUUGUUGUGGCCACGUCCAGAGAGUCAGCAGGAAAAGACCCUCUUAUGGGAAGAUGAGGGAGAGGAAGGAGUCCCAUCUGCUGUGCUUCUGGCUGUGGUGGAGAUGGCUAGUGUGUCAUCACAAACCUGUGCAGCUUUCUGGGGACUACAUUGACCUGUGCAUCCAGGGGUGCAUCCAAGUUCUCACCAAUGGACCGUGGGUGGGAGAUGACAUCAGUCCCUUCUGAACCAGGUGUGAAGAAAUGCACAUGGCUCCUUUGGGCACCUUCCCCUCCUCCCAGCUAGAGGCAGACAUCGUGAGGCCCCAGGGAAUGGUGGAACCAUAUGGUGGAAAGAACCUAAGACCCCGAAUUACCACAUGGAGGGCAGCCACCUGCCCACCAGAACACCUCCAUUGGAUUCAUAUAUGAAUGAGAAACAAACUUGUAUUGGCUUGUCACUGAAAUGUGAGAGUUUAUUUAUUACAGGAGCUGGUGUCAUCCUAUCACAUACCCCGACUUUUCCUCACAAGUCCAGUCCUAAGCUGCUAGGAUGCAGGCAGGAGACAUCAGCAGUUAUUCCUCCCAGCAGUUACAGGGUUGUCAGAAACCACUGAGGAUAGGGAAGAGGGAGUAACACCUCCCUGGCUCUGAGCUUGGCUCCAGCAUGGCCACUAGCAUUUGGGGCUUGGGGGUUGCAGCUGUCGCAUUCCACAGUGGCCCUGAUGGCAUUACAAUUACAGAUGACACUUAGAGCCACCCUAGGGAAGCAAAAGCAAGGACAAGCAGCUGAUGGGAGGGGGAGCAGAAGGGCUGGGGCCGUAGAGCCCUGGCUCUGCUCUGAUCCCAGUCAGCGUCCCUUCAGCUGAAGCGAGCACUUCUUAGGGCCUCCAUUUCUCUGUCUGUAUGAGAAUCUAAUUCACCUGUCCUGGAUGGGGGAGGGAGGAGGGUAUGGAUGUUGAGGAGUGAGAGAACGGAUCUGAAACCUGAGGUCGCUAAGAUUCCACACUGCUGUGUAAUCAGAGGCCCUGAACCCAAGCCCCUCUACACUUUGGUGUAUGCUGAGGCUUUUUCUUGGGAGGGUCUUAAAAACAAUAUGUUAGGGAAGAAGAAAAAUCAAAGAGCAUAAUUCUUAUUAUUUUGGAAUCAUCGAGAAGGCUGCUGUGAGCUAAGGGCCUGGACGGGGUGUCUUGGGAGCUUUGAAGGCAGCUCACAGGACUGAAUUCAGAAUCUGUGGGCAGUUCCCUUUGCCGCCAAAUGUCCAUUGUCAGGUGUCACAGUCGCUGAAAUUCCUCCGUUAGGGUUUCAUUCCUUUGGAUUACUUUUCGUUUCUACACAAAAAUGAAAGCAAUGAUAAUCCUCAAUAUGUGUUCAGGGCUUUAGACUUAGCCCAAUAAUCCUAAAAGACACAGACAGUGAGGCCGGGAUACCUGGUGUGGCUACUUCUCCAAUCAUGCUUCUCCUGACAGAGUGAUUAUGGGGUAAUUCGACUCCUAGGUGUAUAUCUAGAAACUCUUGCACAUGUGCCCCAGAGACAUGGAUAAAAAUACUUACAGUAGCCCUAUGUAUAAUAACAAAAAUUGGCAAUAACCAGUGCCCAUUGAUAGAAGAAGGAAUAAUUGGAUGUUUAAAAAAUUGAAAAUGGGCCAGAUAUGGUGGCUCAUGCCUGUAAUCCCAGCACUUUGGGAGGCUGAGGCUGAAGUUUAAGCCCAGGAGUUUGAGACCAGCCUGGAUAACAUAGAGUAGAGACGGUACUUAAAAGAGUAAUAAUAGGCAGGCAUGGUGGUGUGUACCUGUGGUUUCAGCUACUUGAAAAGCAGAAG